AUACGGAGGGUGCGAGCGUUAAUCGGAAUUACUGGGCGUAAAGCGUACGUAGGCGGUUGGUUAAGUUAGAUGUGAAAGCCCCGGGCUUAACCUGGGAACUGCAUUUAAAACUGGCGAACUAGAGUUGAGUAGAGGGGAGUGGAAUUUCAGGUGUAGCGGUGCAAUGCGUAGAGAUCUGAAGGAACACCAGUGGCGAAGGCGACUCCCUGGACUCGAACUGACGCUGAGGUACGAAAGCGUGGGUAGCAAACGGGAUUAGAUACCCUAGUAGUCC
rnacentral:rRNA from 1 species